AUGGUUGCUCGGGUCUUUUUGGCCCCGGCGUGCCGCACGCGUCGACGACGACAAACACUACAGGUACUGCCGGCGAUGUUGAUAGUGGCCUCCGGUGCUGCAACCGGCGAUAUUUUUGCUGGCACCGGCUCUCUUUUUUUGCUACAACUGGUAAGAAAUUUUGCUGGAUUGGACGAGGUUUUUUGCGGUGAUCUUGGCGGCGAUGCAUGUUUUUGCUGGAACAGAUCAGUUUUUUGCUACUACCAGCAUGUGUUUUUGCUACAACGGGUGAUUUGUUUUGCUACGACCGGCGACAGCGGCACAUGUUUUUUUGCUGGAAUCGCCAUGGUAGCGGAAACCAACGACGGCGGCGAGACUAGGGCAAAGACGAUGGGGAAUGUUGCAACUACGGCGGCCCCGCGCUGGAACCGGCCGGUGGAGUGCCGCAAUCGUCAGAAAGGCAUAAGCUGGAAGCCAAUGGCGGUGCUUCAAUCUCGGCGGCCGCGUGCUUGGGCGGCAAGCUGGCACUGCGUUGGGGCACGGCAGAGCUGCAAUUCGAGCGCGGUGGGGUGA
rnacentral:rRNA from 1 species